CAGUCGCCACGGUAACACAGAGGGUGCAAGCGUUAAUCGGAAUUACUGGGCGUAAAGCGCGCGUAGGUGGUUUGUUAAGUUGGAUGUGAAAGCCCCGGGCUCAACCUGGGAACUGCAUCCAAAACUGGCAAGCUAGAGUACGGUAGAGGGUGGUGGAAUUUCCUGUGUAGCGGUGAAAUGCGUAGAUAUAGGAAGGAACACCAGUGGCGAAGGCGACCACCUGGACUGAUACUGACACUGAGGUGCGAAAGCGUGGGGAGCAAACAGGAUUAGAUACCCGCGUAGUCCCUGUCUCUUAUAC
rnacentral:rRNA from 1 species